GCCCUCGUAGCCUAAUGGAUAGGCACCGGUUUCCUAAACCGGGUCCGCCUUGCGGACAUAUGCUGGUUCGAAUCCCGCCGGGGGUA
rnacentral:tRNA from 1 species